rnacentral:lncRNA from 1 species
UGGUGACAAUCUCUUUUUAGAGAGAUUGCUUAAGGUACCGUUUGGUUCGGGUAUAAGCAAGAACUAGCUAUUACAGGGAUAGGUACAAGUAUGGGGAUAAGAAAAAUAAUGUUUGGAUGAAAAUUGGGUUGUUUCCGAGGAUAAAAACAAUUUUAGAUAGUUUUAUAUAGAAAAUGGUGGUGUUGGUGGGGAUAACUGAGAAGUACUAUUCUUGGGUAAAAAAUUAACGUUUGGGUAUAAGGGGGGAUAAGGAUCUAUUCCUAUCCCUAUCCCCUAACAAAACGCUGCCUUAAAUGUCUCAAUACACUCUUUUUCAAUUGACGUCUCUAUACUUUUUUUUUUUUUUU